CCUACGGGCGGCAGCAGUGAGGAAUAUUGGUCAAUGGACGGAAGUCUGAACCAGCCAUGCCGCGUGCAGGAUGACGGUUCUCUGAUUUUUACACUGCUUUUGUACGAGAAUAAUAGUUCUUACGUGUAGGGAGUUGACUGUAUCGUACGAAUAAGUAUCGGCUAACUCCGUGCCAGCAGCCGAGGUAAUACGGAGGAUUCGAGCGGUAUCCGGAUUUAUUGGGUUGAAAGGGUGCGUAGGCGGUCGGGUAAGUUGGAGGUCAAAGGUCGGGGCCUAACCCCGUGCCUGCCUCUGAUACGGUUCGACUAGAGAGCGGAUGAAGCAGGCGGAAUGAGUAGUGUAGCGGUGAAAUGCGUAGAUAUUAGUCAGAACACCGAUUGCGCAGGCAGCUUGCUAAUCCGUAUCUGACGCUGAUGCACGAAAGCGUGGGUAGCGAACAGGAUUAGAUACCCGUGUAGUC
rnacentral:rRNA from 1 species